CGACCGCUGGCGGCGUGCUUAACACAUGCACAUCGACCGGAAAGGCCCUGCUUGCAGGGUACUCGAGUGGCGAACGGGUGAGUAACACGUGGGUGAUCUGCCCUGCACUUCGGGAUAAGCCUGGGAAACUGGGUCUAAUACCGGAUAGGAGCCAUUUUUAGUGUGAUGGUUGGAAAGUUUUUUCGGUGUAGGAUGAGCUCGCGGCCUAUCAGCUUGUUGGUGGGGUAAUGGCCUACCAAGGCGGCGACGGGUAGCCGGCCUGAGAGGGUGGACGGCCACAUUGGGACUGAGAUACGGCCCAGACUCCUACGGGAGGCAGCAGUGGGGAAUAUUGCACAAUGGGCGCAAGCCUGAUGCAGCGACGCCGCGUGGGGGAUGACGGCCUUCGGGUUGUAAACUCCUUUCGCUAGGGACGAAGCUUUUUGUGACGGUACCUAGAUAAGAAGCACCGGCUAACUACGUG
rnacentral:rRNA from 1 species